rnacentral:snRNA from 1 species
GUUUGCUUCAGCAGAACAUAUACUAAAAUUGGAACAAUACAGAGAAGAUUAUCAUGGCCCCUACACAAAGAUGACACGCAAAUUCAUGGAGCAUUCCAUAUUUUU